GAUGAACGCUGGCGGCGUGCCUAAUACAUGCAAGUCGAGCGAACAGACGAGGAGCUUGCUCCUCUGACGUUAGCGGCGGACGGGUGAGUAACACGUGGAUAACCUACCUAUAAGACUGGGAUAACUUCGGGAAACCGGAGCUAAUACCGGAUAAUAUAUUGAACCGCAUGGUUCAAUAGUGAAAGACGGUUUUGCUGUCACUUAUAGAUGGAUCCGCGCCGCAUUAGCUAGUUGGUAAGGUAACGGCUUACCAAGGCAACGAUGCGUAGCCGACCUGAGAGGGUGAUCGGCCACACUGGAACUGAGACACGGUCCAGACUCCUACGGGAUGCAGCAGUAGGGAAUCUUCCGCAAUGGGCGAAAGCCUGACGGAGCAACGCCGCGUGAGUGAUGAAGGUCUUCGGAUCGUAAAACUCUGUUAGUAGGGAAGAACAAAUGUGUAAGUAACUAUGCACGUCUUGACGGUACCUAAUCAGAAAGCCACGGCUAACUACGUG
rnacentral:rRNA from 1 species